CGGUAAUACGAAGGGUGCAAGCGUUAAUCGGAAUUACUGGGCGUAAAGCGCGCGUAGGUGGUUCGUUAAGUUGGAUGUGAAAGCCCCGGGCUCAACCUGGGAACUGCAUCCAAAACUGGCGAGCUAGAGUACGGUAGAGGGUAGUGGAAUUUCCUGUGUAGCGGUGAAAUGCGUAGAUAUAGGAAGGAACACCAGUGGCGAAGGCGACUACCUGGACUGAUACUGACACUGAGGUGCGAAAGCGUGGGGAGCAAACAGGAUUAGAUACCCU
rnacentral:rRNA from 1 species